rnacentral:tRNA from 1 species
GGGACAUUAGCUCAGGGGUUAGAGCAGCGGACUCAUAAUCCGUUGGUCGUAGGUUCAAUUCCUACAUGUCCCACCA